GUUGCUGCAUCCUCCAGAGGAGAAAAAAGCUAUGUCCUCACAUGGCAGAAGGGGCUGAAGGGCAAAAGAGCCUCUCUAGUUCCUUCCAACCCUUUAAAAAGAGUUUCUGCAAAGAACAUGCAUAACAAUGAUACAGAAACAUGUUCGCAUGUAACAACGGAGACAUUCUCAUGCAUGGUCUGGUGAGGCUCCUGUAAUCCUGAGGUUCUAGCUGGUUGGCUAGUUUCCUUCAAGGCAGAGCCACUUCUCUGUUUGAAGCAGGUACCAAGAGUUGACCUCCACCAUCUACUUUCCCUUUGGGUUCUAGCUGGGUUUGUGGCUGCCGAGUUAGGGACUACAUUUCCCAGCUCCCCUUGCAGCUAAGUGUGGCCAUGUGACUAAGUUCCAGUCCUUGGGAUGGGAGUGGAAGUCGUGUUUGUAAUUUCUAAGUCAUGCCCUUAAAAAGACACUUCUUGCCCUCCACUUCCCCUGGGAGUAGAUGUAGUUGUGAGAGCCAGCUUUGACCAGUCGAUGAAGGCCACACACUAAGGGGUGGGGAAGCAGUACAACAGAGAGAACUUUGGUGGCUACACAACACAAGUAGCAGAGUCACGGCCCCACCAUAUCCCCAAAGCAUCUCACAGCUUGGACUUCCACAUGAAAGAGAAAUAAACUUCUGCUUUGUUGAA